UCCGAGUUGUCCCCGGCAGUCCUUUUAGAGUCCCCGGCAUUACCCGCUGGCAACUAAAAGCAGGGGUUGCGCUCGUUGCGGCACUUAAGCCAACACCUCACGGCACGAGCUGACGACAGCCAUGCAGCACCUGUGCUAGCCCCCGAAGGACACGGGCUUUCACCCGCUUUAACUAGCAUGUCAAACCUAGGUAAGGUGGGGAUGACGUCAGUGCUUGCCU
rnacentral:misc_RNA from 1 species